rnacentral:rRNA from 1 species
GAGUUUGAUCUUGGCUCAGAGUGAACGCUGGCGGCAGGCCUAACACAUGCAAGUCGAACGGCAGCACAGUCGUAGCAAUACGAUGGGUGGCGAGUGGCGGACGGGUGAGGAAUACAUCGGAAUCUACCUUGUCGUGGGGGGAUAACGUAGGGAAACUUACGCUAAUACCGCAUACGAACUAUGGUUGAAAGCGGCGGACCGCAAGGCGUCGCGCGAUUGGAUGAGCCGAUGUCCGAUUAGCUAGUUGGCGGGUAAGGCCACCAAGGCGACGAUCGGUAACUGGUCUGAGAGGAUGAUCAGCCACACUGGAACUGAGACACGGUCCAGACUCCUACGGGAGGCAGCAGUGGGGAAUAUUGGACAAUGGGCGCAAGCCUGAUCCAGCCAUGCCGCGUGUGUGAAGAAGGCCU